UUAACUAUUAUAUAGUACUCAGACGACACUAAUAUUCAGAAUUUUGGGUCCUCUGGCGGGCGCUCACCAGCCGGAGCCGGUGGCCGAGGCGGCCCGCCAAAGCAACAAAGGCUAUAAUAACAUAGGGUUGGAGAGUCACCCGUGAGGGCGAUGUUCUCUGUAAUGAUCCCUCCGCAGGUUCACCUACGGAGA
rnacentral:misc_RNA from 1 species